AGGGCAAGUCUGGUGACAGCAGCCGCGGUAAUUCCAGCUCCAAUAGCGUAUAUUAAAGUUGUUGCAGUUAAAAAACUCGUAGUUGAAUUUCGGACCCGGCUGUUGUGGCCGGCCGCAUAGGUCUGUACUCUUCUGGCCGGGUCUUUCUUUCUGGAGAACCGCCAUGCCAUUUACUUGGUGUGGCGGAGAUCCAGGACUUUUACCUUGAAAAAAUUAGAGUGUUUAAAGCAGGC
rnacentral:rRNA from 1 species